GAGACAGAGACAAAUACUACUCCUACUGACAGCCUUGCUAAAAGAAAGGAAUCAUGGGACUAAAUAUGGAGGUGCGCGCUCCUGAGGGCUAGAGCCAUCCGUGAAUGGCUUUGCAUAAUUAGGUUCACCGAUCGAUCCAGAAGAGCUCCUCCGAUGUCUUGAUCCAAGCCCAAGCGGGGGGCUGAAGAUGUCCAUGAUCCGGCUGAAGUCUUCAUCCAAGCGGGAGCUGAAGAGGUCCAUGAUCCGGCUGAAGUCUUCUAUCAACGGCAUCUUCAAUCUUCUUUCUUCCGGAUCCAUCUUGCAGACCUCCGACGCGGAACAUCCUGCUGGCCCGACGGACUACCGACGAAUGAAGGCUCCUUUAAGGGACGUCAUCCAAGAUGGCGUCCCUCGAAUUCCGAUUGGCUGAUAGGAUUCUAUCAGCCAAUCGGAAUUAAGGUAGGAAAAUUCUGAUUGGCUGAUGGAAUCAGAAUUUUCUGAUGGAGAUAACAGAGUUAUAUUGGAUCCAUAAGUUGGAAUCUAAGGGUCCAAUGGGCAUGAAUAAGGAUUUUGAUUUAUCCUUUUUUUUUGUAAUCCUUAGUGGUAGUAUUAUUUUUAUCCUCAGAAAGUUACUGAUAUUACUACAUAAAAGCAUUAUUUGAUGUUAUACAAAAGUAUUUCAAUAUAUGGUGUGUUCUAUGGGUCUUUUGAUUGUUCUAUAUAUAUGUACAUUUUUGAUAAAAUAUAUGCAAUAUAUGUUUUUGUCCACUAGAUGGCUAAUGUUAGUUGGAUAUUGUAGGUUUUUUAUGACCACUAGGUGGUAGUAUAUUUUGCAUUUACCUGAGAGUUUGUAAACACAGUUGUGUUAAUUGUGAUGAAGGGGAGGGAUUUAAGGUUUAUAAGGUGCAAUUCUUGCAUGUCAUGUAUACAACACGAUUAAGGGGUAACACCCAAAACGUUGUCAUCCUAUCUUUGUUUGGAGUAGAUGUAAAUAAAUAUAGAUCUUUUAUUA